rnacentral:misc_RNA from 1 species
AACCCGACACACUUCUGAACAUAUCGCAUUACCGAUAAUAUCCUAAUACUGUUGAUAGAAACCUGCAUGAAAACCAUCCCAUCUAGGGGCCUUCAAAGGUUGCAUGUCUAAAAGAGCCUUGCAAACCUUAACUGAAGAAACUAGCGAACUCAGUCUAAUGAGAGCAUCCUCACGUAGAUUAGGAAAACAACCCUUAAUAGGACAAGCUGGUGCCAUCGCUACAUCCUCAGAAUAGAGACGUUUAUAAAACUCCAUAGCCAUAUUUUGUAAUUUAGCUUGGUCAUGCACCCAAAUAUCUUCAGCAUUCUUAAGAUGAAGAAUCUAAUUUCGUUGCCUUCGAUUACUUGUCUUAAGGUGAAAAUAGAGGUGUUGCAAUCUCCCCAUUAAUAAAUUCACUCCAAGACUUAUAGCACCGUACCAAUUCCUUCUUAUGAGAGAUAACCUCUAGCUUCUGCAUGAAAUCUUUCUCCUCCUGGAGAAGUCUUGACGUUUGUCUAUAUUGCAGAUGAAAAAUGUUCCCAAUGAUAGAACUAUUCCAAACUUUUAGCCUGUUCGUAAAAUGUCCUACUACUAACAUAAAAGAGGAGUUUGGCUGCUAGUUAUCACGAACCAUAUCCAUGAAUUUAUCAUGUGUCAUCCAGGUAGCCUGGAAGUGGAAUAGACAAUCUUGGAAUUGCAAAUGUCAAACACCAUUGGGCAAUAAAUGUACAAGACAAUAAUCUGAAUGCGUCUUGGGUAAGUGUAGUACAUAGCCAUCAGGGAUACCAAGUCUCCAAUCCCCAUUACAAAUAGCCCGAUCCAAAUGCCCCAUCAUCCUACCCCGAGCCCAAGGAAAAAAAAGGACCCCUGAAAGGAAUCUCCGUCAAACUAGAAGUCUACAUCCACUGCUAGAAAUAAACAACAGAGACUCGAACAAUUAGGAGAGCCUCUUUUCUUGUUUUCAGCCCUAAGGAGAGCAUUCCAUUCCCCGAUAAGAGCCCAUGGACCAACAACUUUAGAAGUCACAUUAUUCAAAGAUGGCCACAAAAGAGCCCUA